UGCCCGCUGAUGAUACCCAUCCUUGCUCCCCGUGCCCCCCAGGGCUGUGGGCGACACAGUGGCUCCCCUGGGCUGGCUGGUUGGGCCAAUGCCUGGGGGCUGAGGGCA
ensembl:snoRNA small nucleolar RNA SNORD23